UUCGGGGCUCGAAUUGUAAUUUGUAGAGAGUGCUUCGGGCGAGACCUCGGUCUAAGUCCAUUGGAACAUGGUGUCAUAGAGGGUGAGAAUCCCGUAUGCGACCGUGGCUCGAGCCCAUGUGAAGCCUCUUCGACGAGUCGAGUUGUUUGGGAAUGCAGCUCAAAAUGGGUGGUAAAUUUCAUCUAAAGCUAAAUACUGGCUGGAGACCGAUAGCGCACAAGUAGAGUGAUCGAAAGAUGAAAAGCACUUUGGAAAGAGAGUCAAACAGUACGUGAAAUUGUUGAAAGGGAAGCGCUUGCAACCAGACCUGCCCGUAGGCGAUCAGCCGCUGUUCUCAGCGGUGUACUCGCUCUGCGAUCAGGCCAGCAUCGGUUUCGGCGGUCGGAUAAAGGCCUUGGGAAUGUAGCUUCCCUUCGGGGGAGUCUUAUAGCCCUCGGUGCAAUGCGGCCAGCCGGGACCGAGGACCGCGCUCCGGCUAGGAUGCUGGCGUAAUGGUUGUAAGCGACCCGUCUUGAAACACGGACCAAGGAGUCUAACAUCUAUGCGAGUGUUUGGGUGUCAAACCCAUACGCGGAAUGAAAGUGAACGGAGGUGAGAACCCUCAAGGGCGCAUCAUCGACCGAUCCAGAUGUCUUCGGAUGGAUUUGAGUAUGAGCAUAGCUGUUGGGACCCGAAAGAUGGUGAACUAUGCCUGAAUAGGGUGAAGCCAGAGGAAACUCUGGUGGAGGCUCGCAGCGGUUCUGACGUGCAAAUCGAUCGUCAAAUUUGGGUAUAGGGGCGAAAGACUAAUC
rnacentral:rRNA from 1 species